rnacentral:rRNA from 1 species
GACGAACGCUGGCGGCGUGCCUAAUACAUGCAAGUAGAACGCUGAAGGAGGAGCUUGCUUCUCCGGAUGAGUUGCGAACGGGUGAGUAACGCGUAGGUAACCUGCCUGGUAGCGGGGGAUAACUAUUGGAAACGAUAGCUAAUACCGCAUAACAGUAGAUGUUGCAUGACAUUUGCUUAAAAGGUGCAAUUGCAUCACUACCAGAUGGACCUGCGUUGUAUUAGCUAGUUGGUGAGGUAACGGCUCACCAAGGCGACGAUACAUAGCCGACCUGAGAGGGGGAUCGGCCAAACUGGGACUGAGACACGGCCCAGACUCCUACGGGAGGCAGCAGUAGGGAAUCUUCGGCAAUGGACGGAAGUCUGACCGAGCAACGCCGCGUGAGUGAAGAAGGUUUUCGGAUCGUAAAGCUCUGUUGUAAGAGAAGAACGAGUGUGAGAGUGGAAAGUUCACACUGUGACGGUAUCUUACCAGAAAGGGACGGCUAACUACGUG